AGUGGGAGCACCCUUCGGGGUGUGACUGCGUACCUUUUGUAUAAUGGGUCAGCGACUUAUAUUCUGUAGCAAGGUUAACCGUAUAGGGGAGCCGGAGGGAAACCGAGUCUUAACCGGGCGUUAAGUUGCAGGGUAUAGACCCGAAACCCGGUGAUCUAGCCAUGGGCAGGUUGAAGGUUGGGUAACACUAACUGGAGGACCGAACCGACUAAUGUUGAAAAAUUAGCGGAUGACCUGUGGCUGGGGGUGAAAGGCCAAUCAAACCGGGAGAUAGCUGGUUCUCCCCGAAAGCUAUUUAGGUAGCGCCUCGUGAAUUCAUCUCCGGGGGUAGAGCACUGUUUCGGCUAGGGGGCCAUCCCGGCUUACCAACCCGAUGCAAACUGCGAAUACCGGAGAAUGUUAUCACGGGAGACACACGGCGGGUGCUAACGUCCGUCGUGAAGAGGGAAACAACCCAGACCGCCAGCUAAGGUCCCAAAGUCAUGGUUAAGUGGGAAACGAUGUGGGAAGGCCCAGACAGCCAGGAUGUUGGCUUAGAAGCAGCCAUCAUUUAAAGAAAGCGUAAUAGCUCACUGGUCGAGUCGGCCUGCGCGGAAGAUGUAACGGGGCUAAACCAU
rnacentral:rRNA from 1 species